rnacentral:rRNA from 1 species
GAUGAACGCUGGCGGCGUGCCUAAUACAUGCAAGUCGAGCGAACAGACGAGGAGCUUGCUCCUCUGACGUCAGCGGCGGACGGGUGAGUAACACGUGGAUAACCUACCUAUAAGACUGGGAUAACUUCGGGAAACCGGAGCUAAUACCGGAUAAUAUAUUGAACCGCAUGGUUCAAUAGUGAAAGACGGUUUUGCUGUCACUUAUAGAUGGAUCCGCGCCGCAUUAGCUAGUUGGUAUGGUAACGGCUUACCAAGGCGACGAUGCGUAGCCGACCUGAGAGGGGGAUCGGCCACACUGGAACUGAGACACGGUCAAGACUCCUACGGGAGGCAGCAGUAGGGAAUCUUCCGCAAUGGGCGAAAGCCUUACGGAGCAACGCCGCGUGAGUGAUGAAGGUCUUCGGAUCGUAAAACUCUGUUAUUAGGGAAGAACAAAUGUGUAAGUAGCUAUGCACGUCUUGACGGUACCUAAUCAGAAAGCCACGGCUAACUACGUG